rnacentral:rRNA from 1 species
UUGACCUCGGAUCAGGUAGGGAUACCCGCUGAACUUAAGCAUAUCAAUAAGCGGAGGAAAAGAAACCAACAGGGAUUGCCCUAGUAACGGCGAGUGAAGCGGCACAGCUCAAAUUUGAAAUCUGGCGCAAGCCCGAGUUGUAAUUUGUAGAGGAUGCUUCAGGGCAGCGGCCGGUCUAAGUUCCUUGGAACAGGACGUCAUAGAGGGUGAGAAUCCCGUAUGCGACCGGUUGGCACCCGUCACGUAGCUCCUUCGACGAGUCGAGUUGUUUGGGAAUGCAGCUCUAAAUGGGAGGUAAAUUUCUUCUAAAGCUAAAUACCGGCCAGAGACCGAUAGCGCACAAGUAGAGUGAUCGAAAGAUGAAAAGCACUUUGGAAAGAGAGUUAAAAAGCACGUGAAAUUGUUGAAAGGGAAGCGCAUGCAACCAGACUUGUCGGCGGUGUUCCGCCGGUCUUCUGACCGGUCUACUCGCCGCCGGCAGGCCAGCAUCAUCUGGGCGCGCCGGACAAAGGCGUGGGGAAUGUGGCUCCUCGGAGUGUUAUAGCCCCGCGCACAAUACGGCGCCGCUCGGGUGAGGUCCGCGCUUCGGCUAGGAUGCUGGCGUAAUGGUUGUAUGCGGCCCGUCUUGAAACACGGACCAAGGAGUCUAACAUCUAUGCGAGUGUUCGGGUGUCAAACCCCUACGCGUAAUGAAAGUGAACGGAGGUGGGAAGCGCAAGCUGCACCAUCGACCGAUCCUGAUGUCUUCGGAUGGAUUUGAGUAAGAGCAUAGCUGUUGGGACCCGAAAGAUGGUGAACUAUGCCUGAAUAGGGUGAAGCCAGAGGAAACUCUGGUGGAGGCUCGCAGCGGUUCUGACGUGCAAAUCGAUCGUCAAAUUUGGGUAUAGGGGCGAAAGACUAAUCGAACCAUCUAGUAGCUG